rnacentral:rRNA from 1 species
UCCAGACUCCUACGGGAGGCAGCAGUGAGGAAUAUUGGUCAAUGGCCGAAGGGCUGAACCAGCCAAGCCGCGUGAAGGAAUAAGGCCCUACGGGUCGUAAACUUCUUUAGUCAGGGAACAAAGGGUGCCACGUGUGGCGCUGUGAGUGUACCUGAAGAAUAAGCAUCGGCUAACUCCGUGCCAGCAGCCGCGGUAAUACGGAGGAUCCGAGCGUUAUCCGGAUUUAUUGGGUUUAAAGGGAGCGUAGGUGGAUUGUUAAGUCAGUUGUGAAAGUUUGCGGCUCAACCGUAAAAUUGCAGUUGAAACUGGCGGUCUUGAGUACAGUAGAGGUGGGCGGAAUUCGUGGUGUAGCGGUGAAAUGCUUAGAUAUCACGAAGAACUCCGAUUGCGAAGGCAGCUCACUGGACUGCAACUGACACUGAGGCUCGAAAGUGUGGGUAUCAAACAGGAUUAGAUACCCUCGUA